AUGCGUCUGCGAAGGGCGAAGCGCGGUUUUGUAAAAAGGCUUUGCAGACAGCCGUGCCGUGUUCAGUCUUGUACAUUAAGCUAAAAGCUUAAAUUGAAAGCCGUUU
rnacentral:sRNA from 12 species